rnacentral:rRNA from 1 species
CUACGGGCGCAGCAGUGAGGAAUAUUGCACAAUGGGGGGAACCCUGAUGCAGCAACGCCGCGUGGAGGAUGACGCAUUUCGGUGUGUAAACUCCUUUUAUAUGUCAAGAAAAUGACGGUAGCAUAUGAAUAAGCACCGGCUAACUCCGUGCCAGCAGCCGCGGUAAUACGGAGGGUGCAAGCGUUACUCGGAAUCACUGGGCGUAAAGGACGCGUAGGCGGGUAGGAAAGUCAGGUGUGAAAUCCUACAGCUUAACUGUAGAACUGCACUUGAAACUUCUAAUCUAGAGUAUGGGAGGGGGAGAUGGAAUUAGUGGUGUAGGGGUGAUAUCCGUAGAUAUCACUAGGAAUACCUAAAGCGAAGGCGAUCUCCUGGAACAUUACUGACGCUAAGGCGUGAAAGCGUGGGGAGCAAACAGGAUUAGAUACCCGAGUAGUC